AGAAAUCAACUUGAAGUUCAUCGAUUCAACGCGUGUUAGCACUGUGAGGAUUAAUCAUUCCGUUAUGUUGACUUUCGAAAUAAAAGUUACCAGUCCCCUUUCUUCUUCGAAACUUGUGUGUCAGACCAAUUUGAAAUCUAACUUGUCUUCUUUUCAGCCAUAACAAUCUUGUCUUUCUUCCCAGUCUGUCAAGUCGCAAUUUUUCACUCUACAUUUGCAUUGCAGGCCAAUCUCCGAACGAGAAGUUUUCUACUAUUGACUUCACCGCCUCGUCAAACUUGAACCUUUUAAAUACAAACGUGCAAAAUGCCGGGAGAAACUCUAACGACGAACCGUUACGAUUGAUUAACAUUCGUUUGUAUACCGACCGUAUCUUUUGGCCUAAUUAAGUUUGUGAAUCACGUAGCUUAUUGCGGUGACAAAAUUCACUGUCCGGAUCGACGACCCAUUGUUUCACUUGUGGGACGAGCGGAAUAAUUAUCACGUAGCCGUUUCAAUACGGGCCUAACAGGUGUGAACAAAUGGGAACAACGAUCCAUGAAUUCAUGUAACUGGUUGAACACAACUAGAAACCGGGAUUAUAGAGGUGUUACAUAGCAGGAAAAAUGCUAAUUACAUAAUCAGACAAGGAUCGAGAUACACAUGCACACGCUAAUGCAGCGGCAGGGUAACGAGGCAAAUUUCUUUCAGAGACGCGGCAUUUCCCUCUCUGCGCCGUACGGCCGUUCGAAGCCCGUGGAUAAUCUGAUUAAUAUCCUCGAACGGAAAGAUUUAUACACCGGAAUUAUGAUCCAUGGGCGGAAUGAAAAAACUCAAUCCUGUUCUCGGCUUUGGAACGUGGGUGUUGAGUACUCGGAUUUGACCACGAAAAAUGAGAAAUCGAUUCCUUAUGCCUCGUGGAGCAAGUAUUGGAUUGAUGGAAAAUAUGGAAACAUCCAUAAUGAAUUAUUGAAUUUUGGCUACUCGGAUCAAGUUCUGCGAAUUGGGAAACUGUUUCUUUCGCAGUGCUUCAGGGCUCGAAGUCUGAACAUUGAGGAGUUUGAAAUUGAAUAUUCUUGAUUAUGCGAACAAUUUCCAAAGGUAAUCAGAAGAUCCUGUUUGCGAGUUUCUCGAGGUGUCAAUUUUACGGAAACGAAGUCGCCGAAUCGUGCCAUACGAGGCUUUGACUCGAUGCCAAGGAUGCAGGAAGAGAAGAGAAUGAAAGGGAAAAAAUGGUCGCACCUCAUAACUCAGCAUUCUACGAAUCAAUUGAGAUCAUUUUUUCUAGACAGUUGGAUUCUGGAAAGUAUAGAGAAGAAAUCCGAAACAGGAAACAACCAACAGUUGAAGAAACGCGAGAAAAAAAAACGGUAAAAAUCGAUGUUCUUUUAAUUUUAAUACACGUCAGAUAUAAUAAACUCAAUGCAAACCAAACAUCACACAUCGUUCCUGCAGAGGGGUGUUGUUGCUGUACGCAGGCCAGAACCUAAAACACAUUUCAAAACUGUAACAAUACAGUGAAAUUUCCAAACAGCGGAUAUCUUCGUGACUAAAAAUAUUGACCGUUAUUAAGGAUUGUCCGCUAUUCAGAACAAUAUUGACGUGUACUCAUGGAGACUUUUCGUCUGUUCGUUGUGAGCAUAACUCCGUUGUUGGGAGAUAUCCGUUGAGAGAAGUUUUACUGUAAGUAUUUCAUUUAGUAUUUUCCGUGUCCUACUUGAGACAAUGUAUAUUAAAACUUAUUUGCACAUAUAAUGAUUAGAUUUCUUGCAUAAGGUUUGAUCGAAUUCGUGCAGGCCUCUAUGUCUUUCGCUUGAUUUCUAUUGGUCAGUAUGUUGAAUUACUACACACUUACGCCGAAACAUUUGUACUAUAAUAAGAGCAUAAU